rnacentral:lncRNA from 1 species
GGCAGUUUGCUUGGGUUGAACUGCUGCCCCUGCAUAUCUGAGCACCACAGGGCUUUUUCCACAUUAAAAUGGAAGAUCUGUCUGCAGAGAUGUGAGCACAGCAGACAGGAGCAGAUACCUCUGUGGUCUACAACAAGGAAGUUUUGAAAUAAGGUCUCACCUGCAGACUUGUGAAGCCAGCAGAAAUGCACUGCAGGAAGGAUUCCAGUUUUACAGUGCCUGAGCCACCAGUGGAUGUUCCAGAGAAGCUAUUUGUCCUGAGUGCAGCAGUGAGCAGUGAGGGUCUGAGUCAUGUGGACCAUGAACAGGCUCCUGGGACCUGCUUGAAUCCUGAACAUGGCAACCUUUUAAACAAGGCUACUGUCCCAGGACACUUACACCUUGAUGUGAAAAUCAAUUCAUGUAUUUAGUUAGCAUUUACUUUUGUUCCAGCAGUAAGGGAAAAAAAUGAGGUACCAAAAGUAGUUUUUUAUAAACCAACAGCUUGGAGCAAUUUGUGUCUGAGUAUUUAAAAGAACAAAUAAGAUCCCAUCUAUUAAUUCCUAGAAAGCAGAGGCUCACCAACAUCUGCAACAGGCUGCAUUCUGAUCUCAGUGACAUGAAGACACAUCAGGAAUCUCCUCAGGUAAUCAUUGGCCAUCAACAGCAGUGGUCAUCAACACUGACCUUCCCUACUCUGUGGAGAGCUAGUCCUGAGCAUCCAC